AUAUUUACAUGGCAGGAGAGACACCAUGAUCAAGAAGGCGGUUCACCCAGGGCGAGGCUUGUCCAUUGCACUCCGGCCAUGCUGACCCCUGAGAAUUCCCCAAAUGCGGUAAUCUCGACUGCAUAAUUUUAUGGUAGUGGGGGACUGCAUUCGCGCUCUCCCCUG
rnacentral:snRNA from 1 species